rnacentral:misc_RNA from 1 species
AUUUGUUUCUCAUCCCUUUGUUCCUGUUGAGAUUGAUGAAGAAAGAAGGAAGAAGAAGAUUGGGCGUGGAAAGCAUGAUUAUUCCCUCAAGCAGAUGAGGUUAUAUAUUGCUAAAAUACAAUAGGUAUGGAAUGCAACCAAAUAAAUCAUUCCUAUAACCACUGCACAAUGCUAGCCAUAAAUCAUAGCAAAUAAUCAUUGCCAAUAUCUCAGUACUCACCCUCAAGCUGGAGUAUACAUAUUUAGAGCUAAACAUUUGGUCGGUUCGGUUUUGAAUAAACCAAAAACUGAAUUUCAUAUAAAAUUAAAAACUGAACCGAACCGAACUAUGUAAACAAUCGAACCGAAUCAAAUCGACAUAAAUUGAUUUGGUUUGGUUCGAAUAUUCAGUUUUUCAAAUUUCCCUUCUUUCUUUUACGCUCAAAUCACAACAGAUCACAAAAAUCACAAGAAAAAAAUUACGAAUUUCCAUAAACAUAGCAUUGAUACUAAUAAAAAAAAUUUUUCAUUAAUAGAAAAUUGAUAAACAUUUACAUUUUAACUAAAAAUCACAAUAUUACAAAAUUGUAGCAAAUGAAUUAAAAAAUGAAGAUGUUUAUGACUAUCAAUUGUGAGCAUCUAUUUGUGGGCGCAAGGAGGCUAAUGGUAGGAAUAAUAUGUUAAUUUUGUCUUCUUUUCCGCUAGGGGAGGAAUGAAUCAAACAAGUGAACCACAUUGUUCAAAGCGAUCCAAGUGAGACUGGGACUGCCUUCAUGCGAUUCAAUUAUUCGUUUGUUCGAUCCAGGUUUAAACCGAUAUGAUCAAAUAAAGAAAAGAAAUGAACAUGCAAAGCUUGAUAGAAAUGAAGAAUCGACUAGGUUGGACUUGGAACGAGAUUAAAAAACAAGAUGAAGGAGAAGAACAGAUGAAGGAGAAGAAGAGGUGAAGAAAUGCAGAAAUAUAAAGAAUGUGAGAGAAGGGACUUGAGUGGCAGCAGUAGAUGAUAAGAAGGGAAGAGAAGGUAGGGUUUGUGAGAAUACAUGUGAUAGGAAUGGAUGGUUGAGAUGAAUUGUUUAAGGAUGAAUGGUUAGGAUUUAAUCUUCAAUAAAAAGUGAAAAAAGAAAAGAAGGUGAGAGGUGGGCCUCGAACUCAGAACCUUAAAGUGUUAAAAAUGUUAUGUAACCACUGAGCUAAAACAUAGAAAUGUAUAUUUAAAAUCUUCAAUAUUUAUUUAUAUCGGUUCAAUUCUAUCAAAAUCAUUUUCUCCAAAACCAAAUUAAAUUAACUGAAAUUCUUAAAAAUAAAACCGAAUUAAAUUGAUUUCUCAUAUAAACUAAACCAAAUGACCGAAUUAAUUGGUUCGGUUGGUUAUUUCGGUUCAAACCGAAUAGUGCUUACCCCAAUACAUAUCAUUUUUCCCAGCUUCUUACAAAUGUAAUCAAUCCUAGAACUUUUGAGGAAUUUAGUAAGGAUAUGUGCUAAACUAGUUUGAAUUGAUGAAGCUUUCUUCUGCCUGAUAAAGUAACAAUCCGCCUAUAUAUGUUUCGUCCUUUGAUUAAAACCUAGAUUUGAGGCAAUAUGCAAUGAUGCUUGAUCGUUACUAAUUGACUUCAUUUGUUUGACGUCUCCAUAUAUCAAUUCUUGAAGAAGCUGUUUUAAGUUUAAUCAGAUAAGCUCACAAGUAGCUAAGGCCAUGGCUUGGUUUUUUGCUUUUGCAUUCGAUCUAGCCACUACAUCUUGCUUUUUACUCUUUUUCUUUUUUUUUUUCCUCAAAUAUUAGAUUCCCUCAAUUAGGGCACAAUACCCUAAAGUAUAUUGUUUGAGGUAGAACCUACCUAGUCUUCCAACAAUCUUUGUAUGUCUUCCAUUUUCAUAUGACAGGUCUCACCCUGGGGCUCCUGUAUCUACCGAUGCGGAUUACUGCAUUCCAGUGACUAUCGCAUGAAGUUUGAAGAAACUGACACUAGCCACACUUAAAACAAAAGAAAUGUUUGGUCAUGUGAUUGUGCGAUAAUUAAGUUUGCAAACUAGUCUCCGAUAUUUACUAUGGUCUUUUAGUGGCUCUCCUUGUCAAGGAACAAGUUUAACAUUUAGAUCCAUUAGGGUAUCUUCGUGUUUACAGCCUAACAAGCUGAUCUUUUCUCGUAUAUUCAAUGGAUAUUUCCUGUGUAAAAUAGCAAUGCUUUUAUUGGAUUAUGGUACUUCAAUAUCCAAAAAAUAUUUUAGCUUCCCUAAAUUCAAGUCUAAAUCUUAUUCCAUUUGUGACCCAGAGGUCAUGUUUUCAAGCCAUGAAAACAACCUCUUUGCAAAACAAAGGUAUGGCUGAGUGCAUCAACUCUCAGAGCCCAUAAGCAUGAGACUAUGUAGCACAGAAACGGAAAUGGAAACGCGGAUACGAGGAAAUGCGGAAACGGACAAGGGAAAAUGGCAUUUUAAAAAAUAUAAGAACCGGAAAUGUGAGCAAACGUGCAAUAUAUAUAUAUAUAUAAAAUACAAAUUAUACAAUAAAUUAUUAUCAAAAUCAAAAUUAAAACACAAAACCCAUUAAACCAAUACACAACAGCUAAUCAAUCACAAAUUCAAAAUCAUUAACCUAAUAUAAAAACUCCAGUUUUACCAACACCAAUUUCUUGAAAUACUCAGUGCAAAAGCUUGUGUGAUACCGUGAACCAAGGGAAUGCUCUGCCUUACAAGAUGGGAUGGGAAGUUGGGAACUUUGGGAAGCAGGAAGGCAAAAAGAGGUAAAUCUACUCACCUGCGGUCCUGUGGUGCUUGCUGCCAUCGUCGCCCCCGCCAACGUCAGUUGCCUCACCGUCAUUAGUGGCCAGCAACAGAUGCAUUUCUUCUUUGAAAAUGCAUAUUUGGUUCUCCAUAUUUGCGGAAACGGCCCGGAAACGUCUUGCCGGCAUGUCUUUGCAUUUUCGAGCUGAAAUCGUUUCCGACAUGGGGAAACCUCACCCUGUGCCAUUUCCAUGCAUCAUAGAUGUGUUAUCCGCGUACAGAAAGCACAGCCUACCCUUCCUCAUUUGACUUCAAAGGCACACUUGGUGCACUGGCAAACAAUUCAAUGUGGGGUAACUGUGUCCGGAGAUUGCUUGCUGAGGGCUAUCAAAAACCUCGAUUAGGAACUGAUGCAGGUGACCAUCCUCCUAUUACUCCAAUCUGUUUAGCAACUGAGGAUAUGCUAGGCAUAGAUGCUUGGAGACUAUAUCAGUAUGUCUGUCAACAUUUUAUAGCGUCUCUGUCUCCUGACUGCAAGUAUGUAAGGACUAAGGUGGAAUUUUCUGUUGGGAGAGAGUUCUUCCAUUGCAUAGGGAAGCAUGUUACAGUGGAAGGAUUCACGUCUAUUAUGCCAUGGUUGGCUGUAAGUGAUAAAAAUCUUCCUCGAUUUGCAAUGGGGGAGAAAAUAGAAGUUUCAAAAGUGGAGCUAUUUGAGGGCAAAACUGCUCCUCCAGAUUAUCUCAGUGAGAGUGAACUGAUUUCUCUGAUGGAGAAGAAUGGAAUAGGCACAGAUGCUUCAAUACCUGUACAUAUUAACAACAUAUGUGAACGUAACUAUGUGCAGGUACAAGCUGGCAGGAAGUUGGUUCCAACUACGUUAGGUAUCACCCUGAUAAGAGGCUAUCAAUGCAUUGAUCCGGAUCUAUGUUUACCUGAUAUUCGUAGUUUCAUUGAGCAACAGAUUACCCUUGUUGCCAAGGGCCAGGCAGAUCAUUCACGUGUUGUGCAGCAUGUACUACAACAAUUCAAGCAAAAGUACUGUUACUUUGUUAAGCAGAUCGACAAGAUGGAUGGAUUGUUUGAAGCACAAUUCUCUCAACUUUUUGACUCGGGCCGUGUUCUUAGUAAAUGUGGUAAAUGCCUGAGGUACAUGAAGUACAUUUCUUCUAUACCAUCACGUCUUUAUUGUGGUACAUGUGAGGAGGUUUAUUAUCUUCCUCAGAAGGGCACAAUCAAGCUAUACAAGGAACUAACAUGCCCUUUAGACAACUUUGAGCUGUUGAUAUUCUCCAUGGCUGGGCCAGAAGGCAAGACGUUCCCUUUCUGUCCACACUGCUACAAUAGUCCUCCUUUUGAAGGUAUAGAUACAUUGUUUGGUGCAAGUGAGACUGGUAAUUUCGGCAAGUUAGGGAAGGGAGCAGGUAUGCCAUGCUUCCUCUGCCCACAUCCAACAUGCAGACAUUCUCAGAUAGCUCAAGGAGUUUGUGCUUGUCCGGAAUGCAGUGGAACACUUGUUUUGGACCCAUUAAGUGCACCCAAGUGGAGACUUUAUUGCAAUAUGUGCAAUUGCCUUGUCUUGCUCCCUCAAGGUGCUCAUCGGAUAGCUACUACUCGGGAAAGGUGCCCUGAAUGUGAUUCAACAAUCAUAGAAGUGGACUUCAAUAAGAAUACAACGCCAUUGGAAGAUGGAGCUACCUUGCAUAUUGGUUGCAUUCUUUGUGAUGAUUUGCUUCAUUCACUUGUGGAGGUGAAGCACGGUAAAUCAUUUUUUAAACGCUUGGGUUUGAGUGGAAGGGGAAGACGAACGGGGAGAGGUGGUUACCGGGGAAGAGGACGGGGUUUUGGAAAAAGAGGGGACCCUAAAAUGAGCUUUCGGGAUUUCUAAUAUGCUCUAGAUAAAAUAAAUUAUUUUCAAUAGAACCUAUUUAUAUAUAU